UACAGAGGGUGCGAGCGUUAAUCGGAUUUACUGGGCGUAAAGCGUGCGUAGGCGGCUUUUUAAGUCGGAUGUGAAAUCCCUGAGCUUAACUUAGGAAUUGCAUUCGAUACUGGGAAGCUAGAGUAUGGGAGAGGAUGGUAGAAUUCCAGGUGUAGCGGUGAAAUGCGUAGAGAUCUGGAGGAAUACCGAUGGCGAAGGCAGCCAUCUGGCCUAAUACUAACGCUGAGGUACGAAAGCAUGGGGAGCAAACAGGAUUAGAUACCCUGGUAGUC
rnacentral:rRNA from 1 species